AGUGAACGCUGGCGGCAGGCCUAAUACAUGCAAGUCGAACGGCAGCACGGCAGAGCUUGCUCUGUGGGUGGCGAGUGGCGGACGGGUGAGGAAUACAUGGGAAUCUGCCCAGUCGUGGGGGAUAACGUAGGGAAACUUACGCUAAUACCGCAUGCGCCCUUCGGGGAAAGCCGGGGACCUUCGGGCCUGGCGCGAUUGGAUGAGCCCAUGUCGGAUUAGCUAGUUGGCGGGGUAAUGGCCCACCAAGGCGACGAUCCGUAGCUGGUCUGAGAGGAUGAUCAGCCACACUGGAACUGAGACACGGUCCAGACUCCUACGGGAGGCAGCAGUAGGGAAUAUUGGACAAUGGGCGCAAGCCUGAUCCAGCCAUGCCGCGUGAGUGAGGAAGGCCCUCGGGUUGUAAAGCUCUUUUGUCCGGAAAGAAAAGCGCCGGGUUAAUACCCUGGUGUCCUGACGGUACCGGAAGAAUAAGCACCGGCUAACUUCGUGCCAGCAGCCGCGGUAAU
rnacentral:rRNA from 1 species